AAAAAAUUAGGACUCACCACCACCACCUCGCCCUACAUCUGACAAAGUGGGAACAGAAGCAGUUAAGGAAUGAACAGCAGAACCGUUUCUACACCAACAGAAUUUCCUGUACAUGGGCUGGUUAAAAGUAUCCAUACUUUUUAUUCUAAUCAUUUCUAAGUUUUCUAGAGCACCUCCAAAAUACAAAUGAAAACUGCGCAGUGUAUAGUGGCCUGAGAUAUUGAGAAUUCUGCCAGUCUUCAGUCACCGUGUUCUCCACAGAUGCAUUGUCUUAUUUUAACUCCAGAGGCGUCCUCUUUUUUCUUUCUCAUUAGGAUUACUCUGCCCCUCAGCGGUUCCAGUGCCCUCAAAGCAAUCUGUCUCUGAAGUACUGGCUAUCUUCUGAGCGUGUGCCAGAAGAUCCAGCUUUGUUGAAAAGCGAAGCCGUUAGUCCCUUAAUACAAAGGAGACAAAUUGAUUUAUG
rnacentral:lncRNA from 1 species